UACGAAGGGUGCAAGCGUUACUCGGAAUUACUGGGCGUAAAGCGUGCGUAGGUGGUUCGUUAAGUCUGAUGUGAAAGCCCUGGGCUCAACCUGGGAAUGGCAUUGGAUACUGGCGACCUAGAGUGCGGUAGAGGGGUGUGGAAUUCCCGGUGUAGCAGUGAAAUGCGUAGAUAUCGGGAGGAACAUCUGUGGCGAAGGCGACACCCUGGGUCGAUACUGACGCUGAGGUGCGAAAGCGUGGGGAGCAAACAGG
rnacentral:rRNA from 1 species